rnacentral:rRNA from 1 species
GACGAACGCUGGCGGCGUGCUUAACACAUGCAAGUCGAGCGGUAAGGCCCUUUCGGGGGUACGACGAGCGGCGAACGGGUGAGUAACACGUGGGUGACCUCGCCCUCAGCUCUGGGAUAAGCCUGGGAAACCGGGGUCUAAUACCGGAUAUGACUCCAUGACGCAUGUUGUGGGGUGGAAAGCCUUGUGCGGCUGAGGAUGGGCCCGCGGCCUAUCAGCUUGUU